GAUGAACGCUGGCGGCGUGCCUAAUACAUGCAAGUCGAGCGAACAGACGAGGAGCUUGCUCCUCUGACGUUAGCGGCGGACGGGUGAGUAACACGUGGAUAACCUACCUAUAAGACUGGGAUAACUUCGGGAAACCGGAGCUAAUACCGGAUAAUAUAUUGAACCGCAUGGUUCAAUAGUGAAAGACGGUUUUGCUGUCACUUAUAGAUGGAUCCGCGCCGCAUUAGCUAGUUGGUAAGGUAACGGCUUACCAAGGCAACGAUGCGUAGCCGACCUGAGAGGGUGGUCGGCCACACGGGAAGUGAGACACGGUCCAGACUCCUACGGGAGGCAGCAGUAGGGAAUCGUCCGCAAUGGGCGAAAGCUUGACGGAGCAACGCCGCGUGAGUGAUGAAGGUCUUCGGAUCGUAAAACUCUGUUAUUAGGGAAGAACAAAUGUGUAAGUAACUAUGCACGUCUUGACGGUACCUAAUCAGAAAGCCACGGCUAACUACGUG
rnacentral:rRNA from 1 species